GUUUGUUUUUUAUAAAUCACAACCUUUGCGUGGGAAGUGGCGUACGCACAUUUUAAGCCCCGUUUUGUGCGUACGCCAUGUUUAUAAAUGAGACCCCAGGACUCUACUCAGCCUGUCAGGAUUAAUACUCUACAACAGUUUGUGAAGUUUUCUCACUGUUUCAAGUUGAUCAUAUUUGGCUCCUGUGACAUAACCAUGUACACUAGUGCUCUCCAGUUCUCUGCACUGUUAUAAAUGCUCAGCU